UCGUUGAUCCAACCCGAAUCACUAACUGC
rnacentral:sRNA from 1 species